rnacentral:tRNA from 1 species
UCCGAAUUGGUGUAGUGGCUAACAUUUGACGCUCUCAUUACUCUCCAAUGAUCCGUCAAGCCCGGGGUUCGAUUCCCCGAUUCGGAG